UUAGGCUCCUAGCAAGGAGAAAGAUGUUGAGUUGCAGCAUUGGUGAUAUGAGGCGUGGUGGAGCUCGAAUUAUGAGAGCUAUUUGAUGGAGCAGGUAACUUUCUGCAACUCUUGCUUUGCUCUCUUUGGCCUUUAAGGUUAACCCCAUUUUUGUUAUAUUAGCUACAGAAAAGACGGAGGCUUUGGAGUACCUCAAGGACGACAUCGACCGCAUUUGAACUGACUAUGGUGAGCUAAAGGCUCAGGUGCAAGCUCAAGAUUUAGAGGAGACAAGCGCCUCGGCCAAGG
rnacentral:lncRNA from 1 species